GGGAAGGUGGCUCAGUGGUAGAGUGCUUGCCUAACAUGCAUGAGCCCUGGGUUCGAUUCCUCAGUACCA
rnacentral:tRNA from 1 species